CCUCCCACCCGUGUUUACUGUACCUUAGUUGCUUCGGCGGGCCCGCCAUUCAUGGCCGCCGGGGGCUCUCAGCCCCGGGCCCGCGCCCGCCGGAGACACCACGAACUCUGUCUGAUCUAGUGAAGUCUGAGUUGAUUGUAUCGCAAUCAGUUAAAACUUUCAACAAUGGAUCUCUUGGUUCCGGCAUCGAUGAAGAACGCAGCGAAAUGCGAUAACUAGUGUGAAUUGCAGAAUUCCGUGAAUCAUCGAGUCUUUGAACGCACAUUGCGCCCCCUGGUAUUCCGGGGGGCAUGCCUGUCCGAGCGUCAUUGCUGCCCAUCAAGCACGGCUUGUGUGUUGGGUCGUCGUCCCCUCUCCGGGGGGGACGGGCCCCAAAGGCAGCGGCGGCACCGCGUCCGAUCCUCGAGCGUAUGGGGCUUUGUCACCCGCUCUGUAGGCCCGGCCGGCGCUUGCCGAACGCAAAUCAAUCUUUUUCCAGGU
rnacentral:rRNA from 1 species